UACAGUGACGAUGGCUAGCAGGUCAUACCUAUACCCAUCUCGAACAUAGAAGUCAAGCUGCUAAACGCCGACGAUAGCUGAAAGGCAAAAAUAGGAAGUCGCUGGAC
rnacentral:rRNA from 1 species